CGUUACUUUGGCUUUGACUGUUGGAUACUCAGCUGGGAAGAGCCUGAAACUCAACUCCUCUAGUCACAGGCCAUUGGAUUUUUUAGCCUAGAAAGAAGAAUCAAGCUCAUUGGACCAUAGAACCAGAGUUUUUUGGAAUAGUUUCUCCUCUGUGACAGAAACCAACCCAUUACCCAUUAUUUUAUUGACAUCACUUCGCCAAAUAUAGAAUACUCACCAAUGCAACGUGGGACAAAUUUCCAAGCUCCAUUUUCACAUUUAAUUUUUUUUGGUCCCUGGAGCAUGUAAUUAUCUUCACACUUAACAGCAACUGUUUCCCCAUUCAGAAAACUCACUGAUGUUGAUACAAUCAGAGACUGAGGUAUUUGAGGUGGGGGUGAGCACGUUUUUCUUCUCUCUUCUGCAAAUAAGAAAUGAUUCUUUCAGAAAUAAAUGUAAAAUUCUUAGUGAA